rnacentral:rRNA from 1 species
CAGUUUUUCGAGCGGUAUAGCGUAAAGAUGAGCUUGCGCCACAUUAGUUUGUUGGUGGGGUAAUGGCCUACCAAGACGAUGAUGUGUAGCUGGACUGAGAGGUCGAACAGCCACAUUGGGACUGAGACACGGCCCAAACUCCUACGGGAGGCAGCAGUAGGGAAUUUUCGGCAAUGGAGGAAACUCUGACCGAGCAACGCCGCGUGAACGAUGAAGUAUUUCGGUAUGUAAAGUUCUUUUAUUGAAGAAGAAAAAAUAGUGGAAAAACUAUCUUGACGUUAUUCAAUGAAUAAGCCCCGGCUAACUAUGUGCCAGCAGCCGCGGUAAGACAUAGGGGGCGAGCGUUAUCCGGAAUUAUUGGGCGUAAAGGGUGCGUAGGCGGUUAGGAAAGUCUAUAAUUUAAUUUCAGUGCUUAACGCUGUCUUGUUAUAGAAACUACCUUGACUAGAGUUAGAUAGAGGCAAGCGGAAUUCCAUGUGUAGCGGUAAAAUGUGUAAAUAUAUGGAGGAACACCAGAAGCGUAGGCGGCUUGCUGGGUCUUGACUGACGCUGAGGCACGAAAGCGUGGGUAGCAAACAGGAUUAGAUACCCUGGUAGUCCACGCCGUAAACGAUGAGUACUAAGUGUCGGGAUAAAACUCGGUACUGAAGUUAACACAUUAAGUACUCCGCCUGAGUAGUACGUACGCAAGUAUGAAACUUAAAGGAAUUGACGGGACUCCGCACAAGCGGUGGAUCAUGUUGUUUAAUUCGAAGAUACACGAAAAAUCUUACCAGGUCUUGACAUGCUCUGCAAAGCUAUAGAAAUAUAGUGGAGGUUAUCAGGGACACAGGUGGUGCAUGGUUGUCGUCAGUUCUUGUCUUGAGAUGAUAAGGUUAAUUCCUAAAAUCUACCAUCAUCCCUUGUCCCUGAGUUACCAAACUCGUAAUGGAUGGGUACUUUAACGAGACUGCCAGAUAAUACAUUGGUAGGAAGGUUUAGGAUU